rnacentral:rRNA from 1 species
UACGUAGGGUGCGAGCGUUGUCCGGAAUUAUUGGGCGUAAAGAGCUUGUAGGCGGUUUGUCGCGUCUGCUGUGAAAAUCCGGGGCUCAACCCCGGACUUGCAGUGGGUACGGGCAGACUAGAGUGUGGUAGGGGAGACUGGAAUUCCUGGUGUAGCGGUGAAAUGCGCAGAUAUCAGGAAGAACACCCGUGGCGAAGGCGGCUCUCUGGGACGGUACUGACG